AAAAAUGCAUGAGUGAAUAUGAACCAGAAGGGAUGAAGUUUUGUUUGUGCUUAGCUGGUUUAUAAAUUACUUACUAUUUUUUUUGAUUUCACCGUCAGAUGCCAUUGUGUAUAUGAUGUUACCAUUUGUACCUUUUUCAUUCAUCAGUUUUCAGUAGGUACUGCAUUCUUCACUGGCUGCAUUAAUACAACUAACACCAUUUAAAUAGGCUUGCAUUAAUGGGAAAUUAACUAUUUUAACAUCCAAAAAUCCCAAAAUAAAUAUGUCAUUGUGUAAUUGUCCCCUAUGUGUUUAUUGUUAAUCAGUGAGACAUUCUUUAUGUGUCUCCUCAGUAUCAACUCCAGAGAUGUGCACCGUGGCGGACCAUGGCCUCUCAGUGGCAGACCUGGCCCAUUCUGUCCAUUGCCCUUUUCCUGCUUGCUCUGGUGCCAUAUGUGGUCCACCGCAUGAUGACUGCUUUUGACGAUCCCCCUCCACACUCACUCUUCAAGUCAGCUGCAAUUGGCUUUGGCCUCCUUAGUGAAGCCCUGCUGAUCAGGUGUUUGUGCAGUUACUUCAGCCACCGACUCCAGCGAGCAAAGCAAGACUCCUUCAGGCUCUUGCCUCGUCAAUCUGAAGAUCAUGAAGCUCAUGCCAGUCUGAAGUAGUGCCCCACGCCGGGGGUCAAAGGUCAGGAUUCACAGCAUUGGCAGGACAGAGGAACCGCUGAGAGGAGAGGAACAGACCUGCCACUGUUAAAUAUGACCACAGGGAAAGAGACCUGUGGUGCAGCAAGCGUACAAAUCCCACUGACUUAUUUAAAUGUCUAGAAAGGUCCUGCUGCAGACAUUGGCAGAGUUUCAGCAGACGAAACCCAGUGUAAGCACCAAAAAAAAAAGAGAAAGAAAAAAAAUCUGAAAUGGAUGAUGCCACUCUGGGUUGAAAAUGGAUGGACGCUCUAUUGCCCUUGGUUGGAUUUUGAUGGUGUGAUCAAAACAGUGUUUAAUCGGUACUGUAGAGUUGGUAUAAGGCUUUAUCAAUUUACUACAUCAAUAUAUAUCAAAGCACUUUGGCCAUGUAAUAGUUUUAUAUAAUUCAUUGCACAUGUCACUUUUUAUGGCCUGACUUUUUCAAAGGAUUUUCAGAACUUCUGAGACCAUUUGUCAAGGACUUUCGGAAACAGUGCUGAUACAAUCCUAAUACAGAACUUUUUUUUCACCAAGUAAAUGUUUGUGCUUUUUUUAAGUAAUACAUUUCUUGUUUUAUCCUUUGGAGUGCUUCUUAAUAUUUCCACUUUGUUUUGGUGUAAAAAUAUUUUUUUUAAAAUCAUAUAGUAAAUGACAUUUUCAGGAAAAACAGUUCACCAAAAAAUGUAAAUGUAUUGUUUACUUACCCUCUGGUCAUUUUAAGGUCCUAGGAUAGAUGUUUGUAUCAGUUUGUUAGUUCUAAAGAUAUCUAUAAACUGGUGUGCUCCAAAACAAUGACAACAUUUGCAUUAUAUAUAUAUAUAUAUAUAUAUAUUUAAACACCCACAGCUUGCCACUUUCACCUAUAUGAAUCAAUGAUUUUUUUUCACAUCACUUUAUUUUCAGUUUCUCAUUAAAUCUUGAUCAAAUGCUCUCUAGAAUCUGACAUGUCCCAUGUUCUUCUUUGCUUUUCAUUUGAUGCACUUGACCUUAACUACUGAGGUAGAGAUGUAAUAAAAACCAAACGCUAUUGGUUGUUUUUAAAAAGUUGAGGAGCUACUUCAGUCUCACCCGCCUCAGGUUUCAGUUGAUAUUACAUCAGAUUUUAAAUGAAAAUGCACAUGUUGAAGCACUUCACAAGACCUUUAAAGUCCUCACAAGCUGGCAGUUGUUGAAACUUUUGCUUUAGUAUUCAAACGGAACAUUGAAUAGGGAGUGGGGCUUUAUUUUUGCGCAUCAUUCCCUCAUAGCAAACUAACUUUGAUUGAAGAUUUUAAAACAUGUAUUUAUUUGAUUUAUUUUUCAGUAAAUUAUCUUACUUAAUUGUUCAUCUAAUGAGUUGCAACGUACCUUAGCAAAAUAAACAUGUUGGACUCACACAGAC